AAUAACACGGCGCUGUCACUCUGUGCUGUCACCACAGGCUGUCACUUCUUAACCUUUAUAUUCUUUGAGGUGCAGGAGUUUUUCAGUGUUCUGCUCGGUGUUCUAUGUUCUUCUUCGCUUCAAGUAAGUUUUAAUCAGGUUUAUAUUCAGAAUGAGUGUGGCAACGACUAAUAAAAAACGCACCACAAAAAAACAGUUUGAGAUAUUUUUAAAUUUUCUGGAAGAAAACAAGUGCCUACGUACUAGGAGGCUGGCCCCAAACCAGUACGAGGCUCUAGGGGCUAUCUGGAAGGAGUUAACGGUGCUGUUAAAUAGUGUCGGAGACGGACCAGUCCGGGAAAUUAACGAAUGGAAUAAAGUAUUUACAGAAUGGAAAUGCUCCAUAAGAAAAAAGGCUCGAGAAAAUAAAUCAUUAAAUGAUAAUGAAAAACGAUUAUUAAAGUUAACUGGAAACGAGGCUGUGGAGGGGUUUACAGGCGUUGAAGAAAUUGGAAGUGGAUUUGCCGAUGCGAGAAAUGAAAUAAAUGAAGUAAGGGAUGACGGAACAAAUGAAGUAAGGGAUGAAGAAACAAAUGCAGUAAGGGUUAUUUUCUAAAAAAAAAAUAAGAACUAAACUGACGUAAUGCAAAGAAGAAAUUCUUAUCAGUAUAGAAAAUGAGGAUAAUGAUGAUCAAGGUCAAACAAGAAGGCCUACAGCUAGAAUUAAGAAGCGCACUAGAAAAACAUCUAGUGAUGUGUUACUGAAGUCCUAUAUACAAGCCACAAAAAGCCAAUUUGAAGGGCUUGAAAAAAUAAGUGAUGCAUUAGAAGACAUUGCCAGAGCAAUUAAUCGGUUCUGUGACAUCACAGAAUCUAAAAAAUAAUAAUUUUUAUUUGUGUGUUCAUUUAUUCUCAAGAAUUAUAAUUUGAGUUAUUUAAUUACUAUUUCUUACUAUUCUUGGAUAUUUUGAGGUUGUGUUACACAUGAGCAGUUUGAACUAUAUUUAACUUUUUUUCAAAAGAAAGGAAAUUUUUUUUUACAUUAUGUGAAAAUUUAAAUAAAAUAACUAAUGCUGCAAGAAAAACUGUGCAACAGUGGCGUAAAGUGAGUAUUAUUGUAUGUGAUAUUUUUAUUUAAUGUUAAAUUUCUUGUUAAUUAGACAUUUGAUAACUGGGUUAGGUAUGUUAAACGAAAAGCCAGAAUAGCUAUUUACACUCGAAUGCGGUAAGUCACAUUUUACAGCGCGACAACUUUGUUUGAGGCACGAGCCUGAAAGGCGAGUGCCUUAUUAGUUGAAGCGCUGUAAAAUGACUUAACGCAUGAGAUUUGUAUAAAACUUUUUGGCCGACAAGCUUUUAAUAUUAUUCUUUAUAAAAUCAAUGACAUUUGUGGUUCCCAAACGUAUGUAUAGGUGGCGCUGUUCCGGGGGAUUUAUAUUUUCACUAAUUAAAUAUACACCAUGGUCGAUUGAAUUAAAUAAUUAUAGGUAAGAAGUAUUUCGUUAUACGAACUUAAUUAUGGUAAGCACGGUUUGUAUCUUAAACAUGUCUAAUCGUCCAGUGUUUUGUGGUUACUUUACCUAAUUGUUUGCUACCAGUUUACAGCAUCGUGUUUAAAGGUCAAGUUACCUUUCAUGAAUGGGCAACUGUCAUUCACGUUUUACAGUACUGGAGGCCAAAAAGAUAUUUGUCUACCGAUAUAUCACUGGUGGUGGUGGCGCUUUGUACGUUGUGCUGACGAAAUUGGAAGAAAGACUACUUCAUGUACUGGGAAAUGUUAAUGUAAAUGGUUUUAAAAAUGUAAUCGAGUUGGGUUUAUGUGAAAGGAAAACAAAACUAAAGAAAAAGAUAUCUAUUGAGAUUGGGUACAAAUGCAAACAACGCAACCGCCAUAAGUAUCGUCUUACAAAAAAAACAAAAAGAAGCUGAAAAAAUGUAUUUUAACUACUCCAAAUGUUCAACAAAUGCUACUUUUAAAAUUCUUAACGCCGUCAAACAUGUGAACCAAUCUCUUCAACGUUUAAUAAAUAUGUUUUCUUAAAAA